rnacentral:misc_RNA from 1 species
AGUAAAUAAUCAUCCAAAAGCUUCCGCAAUUUAAACAAUGUAUCAUCACUGAGAGCAUCAAUAUCAAUCUCAAUUUCAUCCUCACCAUUCUGGUCAGCAUUAUGACUAUGCUCUUUUAGAAAUUCAAUAAUGAUAUCAGGUAAUUCAGCCAGCAAUGCUUCCAAUUCAGCGCUCAACUUAUGCUUAUCCUCAUCAGUCAUUAUCUGCCUAACAGGCUCCAACUUGAACUUCUUG